UCAUAGCUCAGUUGAUAAAUCAUCUGCCUGCAAUGCAGGAGACCCAGGUUCGAUUCCUGGGUCAGGAA
rfam:Ovis aries breed Texel chromosome 7, whole genome shotgun sequence.